GGAGUCUGGGCCGUAUCUCAGUCCCAAUGUGCCCGAUCACCCUCUUAGGCCGGGUAACUAUCGUCGCCUUGGUGGGCCGUUACCUCACCAACUAGCUAAUAGUACGCGGGCCGCUCUCUGUGCGAAUCAAAAGAUCCUUUCCUGCAGCACCUCUGACAUGCUGCAGCGUAUCCGGUAUUAUCUCCUAUUUCUAGGAGCUGUCCCCGUCACAAAGGUACGUCACCCACGCGUUACUCACCAGUCCGCCGCUCUAGGAUUAGUGCAAGCACCAAUCUUACCGCUCGACUUGCAUGCUUAAGACGCGCCGCCAGCGUGUUCUGAGCCAGGAUCAAACUACU
rnacentral:rRNA from 1 species